UGGCGGUAUCGUCUAGUGGCCUAGGACGCGGCCCUCUCACGGCUGAAACUCGGGUUCGAUUCCCGGUUCCGCUACCUU
rnacentral:tRNA from 1 species